rnacentral:tRNA from 1 species
AAGGGAAUAAAGAAAAUAAAAGAAGCUGCUAACUAUCUUUUAAAGCGGUUAAAAUCCGUUUUUCCCUUA